rnacentral:rRNA from 1 species
GAAGGUGUAUCUAGAAAGACAAAUUAGAGCUUGAAAAGUAAAGCAUUUCAUUUACAUUGAAAAGUAUAUUGUGUAAUUCAAUUUAAUUUGAUAAUAAAAAUUUAUUAAUUUUUUUUGUUUAAAAAUUUAUUUAAUAAAAUUAAUUUUAAAUUAAGUUUUUUUUGUAUAAUAUAUAGAUCAAAUAAUUUAUAUAAUAGUUAAUUAGUAUUGUAAAAGAGUAUUGAAAUAUUUGAAAAAGUUUUAAAUUAAAAGUAAAUUUUAUAUAUUGUACCUUGUGUAUCAGGGUUUAUUAAUUAAAAGUUAAAAAUAUUUAAUUUUUCUCGAAUUUAAGAGGGUUAAUUUAUUAUUUAAUUUUUUGUUUCAUAAAAAUUUAAAAUAAUAAAUUAGAAAUGAAAUGUUAUUCGUUCUUAAAGAUAUCUAGUUUUUUAAGAAAUAAAUUAAAUUUAGAUUAUUAAUAAAUAAUUGUUUAUUUAAAUAAUAAAUUAUUAUUAAUAAUUAAUAUUUUAAGGGAUAAGCUUUAAAGUAAGUUUUAUAAUAAUUUUUUAAUUUAAAAAUUAUAGAUUUAGAAAUAGUCAUUAAUUAUAAAAAUGUUAUAAUUUAUUUUAAAUUAAAAAUAAUUUUUAUUAAUUUAAGUUUUUAUUAAAAUAAUUUUUAAAAUUAUAUAAAAAUUAAAAUAAUGAUAAAAUUAGUAUAUUUUAAUUGUUUAAAAUAAAUAAAUUGAAAGGUUAAAUUAAGGAACUUGGCAAAUAAAUACCCGCCUGUUUAACAAAAACAUGUCUUUUUGAAUAUAAUUUAAAGUCUAAUCUGCCCACUGAAAAAUUUUAAAGGGCCGCGGUAUU